rnacentral:rRNA from 1 species
AGUGAACGCUGGCGGCGUGCCUAACACAUGCAAGUCGUACGGGUCCCGGAUAGCAAUAUUCGGGAUCAGUGGCGAACGGGUGAGUAACGCGUGGGUAACCUGCCCUCGAGUGGGGGAUAAGCACCCGAAAGGGUGUCUAAUACCGCAUAACGUUUCAUGACGAGGGUCAUGAAACCAAAGCCCAAAAGGCGCUCGAGGAGGGGCCUGCGUCCAAUCAGCUAGUUGGUAGGGUAAUGGCCUACCAAGGCUAUGACGGGUAGCCGGCCUGAGAGGGUGUCCGGCCACACUGGGACUGAGACACGGCCCAGACUCCUACGGGAGGCAGCAGUGGGGAAUCUUGCGCAAUGGGGGAAACCCUGACGCAGCGACGCCGCGUGGAGGAUGAAGGCCUUCGGGUUGUAAACUCCUGUCAGAGGGGACGAAAUCCCGCAAGGGACUGACGGUACCCUCAGAGGAAGCCCCGGCUAACUACGUG